rnacentral:rRNA from 1 species
ACGGGUGAGUAAUGUCUGGGGAUCUGCCCGAUAGAGGGGGAUAACCACUGGAAACGGUGGCUAAUACCGCAUAACGUCGCAAGACCAAAGAGGGGGACCUUCGGGCCUCUCACUAUCGGAUGAACCCAGAUGGGAUUAGCUAGUAGGCGGGGUAAUGGCCCACCUAGGCGACGAUCCCUAGCUGGUCUGAGAGGAUGACCAGCCACACUGGAACUGAGACACGGUCCAGACUCCUACGGGAGGCAGCAGUGGGGAAUAUUGCACAAUGGGCGCAAGCCUGAUGCAGCCAUGCCGCGUGUAUGAAGAAGGCCUUCGGGUUGUAAAGUACUUUCAGCGGGGAGGAAGGCAGUGAGGUUAAUAACCUUACUGAUUGACGUUACCCGCAGAAGAAGCACCGGCUAACUCCGUGCCAGCAGCCGCGGUAAUACGGAGGGUGCAAGCGUUAAUCGGAAUUACUGGGCGUAAAGCGCACGCAGGCGGUCUGUUAAGUCAGAUGUGAAAUCCCCGGGCUUAACCUGGGAACUGCAUUUGAAACUGGCAGGCUUGAGUCUCGUAGAGGGGGGUAGAAUUCCAGGUGUAG